rnacentral:rRNA from 1 species
AGCGAACGCUGGCGGCAGGCUUAACACAUGCAAGUCGAACGGCAAUAGCAAUAUGUCUUUUGCAUACGGGUGAGGAACGCGGGAGGACGGACCUUUUCAUUCGAAUCAACCCAGUGAAAGGUGUUCAAAUACGGGAUAAGCCCUUACUGGUAAAGAUUUAUCGCCGGAAGAUCGACCGAUGUCUGAGUAGCUAGUUGGUGGGGUAAAGGCCUACCAAGGCUACGAUCCGUAGCUGGUCUGAGAGGAUGAUCAGCCACACUGGAACUGAGACACGGUCCAGACUCCUACGGGAGGCAGCAGUGGGGAAUAUUGGACAAUGGGCGCAAGCCUGAUCCAGCCAUACCGCGUGGUGGAAGAAGGCCUUCGGGUUGUAAAGCCCUUUUGUUGGGAAAGAAAAGCAGCAGGUUAAUACCCCGCUGUUCUGACGGUACCCAAAGAAUAAGCACCGGCUAACUUCGUG